GGGUUCUAGUUUACUGAAUGGGUAGACGGAUUACGGAUAUGAAAUUUAUACCAAUGAAUUCUGUUUCACUUACUGAUAAUUGUACAAUAAUUUUUUAUUGGGGGCGGGCGUUACUUUUCAUGUAAUUGCAAUUUAAAAUAUGUCUUAUUUUUAAAAAUCGCCGCCAUUUUCCGCCAUUAUAUACCAUGAAACAACAAGAAACGACAGGAAUGACAACCGUUUUAUAAACGCAAGAAGGAGAAUCCUAACAGUGUUGCCAUAGUUAUAUAAAAUAUGUUUUCUUAUGAAAAUUACAAUUUUUCAAUUCUUAAAUAUGUCAUUUUACUUAUUCUGACGCAUUUUUAACACAAAAUGACUGCUUUAUUACAAGGGUCAGGUUAGUUCUGGUUAGGUUUCGUUACGUUAGGUUAGAUUACAUCAAGUUUAUUAAUAUUAUAGUGAUUUAUGAUUAUAUUUUAAUAAAUAAAUUCUGUGGGAUUCCCAGAAUACACUUUCAAGGUUGGAAUGAAAUUUUGUGUAUUUCAUGGUUAUGUACUGUCACUGAUUUCGGGAAACCAUGUUGCCAUGUGAAUGACAAAAGAUAAUUUCACAUGAAAACAUCGAUUUUUGUCCAUUUAAGCGUACCAUUGAUUUGGAAUAUUUAUGCAAACCUCUAAAUUUGGCAACUGUUUUUGAAAAAUUGGUAGAUGCAUGCAUUGACGCAUUUUUUAAACAGUUUAUUGUUAGUUUUUAGUUUGUUAGGUCGGUUGUUUGUGCUGCGCCCUGGAUUUGGGCGUUGUCUGUUGCAUCAUAUACAAAUUUGUGAAAGUGAAGUUAGUUUAUCGGGUGGGUUGUGAUUGCGCUCAGCGGUCAAAUACCUCCUGCGGUUCUCUCAAUAUAAUACCCGUAAGUUAGGUUUGGACCGAAGGGUUAGGCCUUCCUCCUUUCAGACCGCCUGCGCCCAAUUGCAAUCUGCCCAGUUUAUCAUUAAAUAAAGGUGAAGUGAGACUAAAUGGUGUGUAGGUGUUACGAAAGUAAAUUUAAGUACAAUUAAGGUGUGGCUUUAAUACCUAUAUUCACAAAGAAAAGGCCUCUUUCGAAGCUAGUAAACUGCAGGCAGAGGAAAUAAAUAUGUUGGUGGCAACUUUUAUUACAUUUAAAGCCACGAAUUUGGCUUUGGACUCUCAAAUUGCAUCGAUCUAUAGCUGUUUUGCUAAGUCCAUAAAAAAAUUGGCAUUUUCAAGGUCUACCCUUAGAGUAAAUUUUUACCAAAACUGGUUAUAUUCCUAUAAGUAGCAUAAAACCUUUAUUGUUUAAGUUAAUGCGCUGAUUCGCUGAUGAACUUCAAUAUUGUAAUACUCCAUUGUAUUUUAGAUUAUAUUUUUAUCUUGAAUAUAUCGCUUUUGUAUACUUCCCGGGCGAUUUUCUUCUCCAAUAUUAUCAAUAAACUCUAAAAAUGCUUUUACUUCUUCAUACAUUUUUGUUGUAAUUAGAAAAACAAAAAAUAUAUGUUGGAACUGAAUUUAAAAUAUUCAAAA